CCCCUCUCAGGAGGGCACCUGGAGAGUUUCCAAUACUCCACCAGACUCGGCUAUGGGAGGGAGAGUCAACCAGAGGCUUACCCAUUCCAUUCCUAGCUUGGGCAGUGGCUAGUGAGUGGAAAGCAAUCUGCUACAAGU